AAUAGUCUUUGCAUGUCUGUGAGGUUGAUUUGAUCUUUGGUAUAAAUAAAUCUGCAGUUUAUUGAAUUUUUAUCUGAAUGGUAUACAUAUUUAUGAGAGUGAGUUGUUGAAAUAACGCAUUAUUAAGAACCUAACUAUCUUUUCAUGUCUAUUAUAUUUGCUUUGUGAUAUGGGAAUUACAAUGUUAGUUGCAUAUAUAUUUACAACUGUUAGAUAGUUUCACUGGAUGGUCCCCUUGUUAAUGAUUGUCUUGGAUUUUUUCUGAGGUUUUUUUUUUUAGCAGCAGCCAUUUUUUCUUUUUGCUGUAAUCAGGACCUCUCUUCAUUGUUGUGUUGGGCAGGAAUGAUAUUUUUCCUUCAUAACAGCUAUGCCAUUGGUCCCCUGACUCUACAGAUAUAUCAGAUGUUUCUGCUGCCUUCCACUGAAGUUCUGUGUUUUGUUUUUGCACUCUACACACACCUCAGCUUCAUGGCCUGAGACCAGUGUCUUCAUAAAACUGAAGAAGUGUCAACAAGUCUCCCUAUAAAGAGAAGUUUGAGACAAUGGAUCGCUAACACCGAGUUAAGUAUUCUACUGUGUAUCUGUGUCUUAAAAGAUCACAGGGUAACUACACAAAGAUGUACACUUUUGUUUUGCUUUCUGUGUCAGUUUAGAGACAAAAUUAAGGAAAGUACCUCCGUCCCCUGUUCCUGGGCUAAGUUCAUGGUCACCUAGGUGCUCUUUGUUGACCAGGUGUGAACAUCAUCUCCUUUCUACUUUCAGAGUACUGGCAUUUUCUUAGCAGAAAGGAUAGUGACACAUACAGUGUAAAAGUCAAAAUUAUUUUCCUGAUAGCUACUGGGUUAGUGAGGAUAGAGUAAAUUGCAUUUGAGGAUAAAUUUAGAUUUGUGAGUUAUUUCCUCUCUUCCUCUCACUCACUGUUCCCUGGAUGGCUGAAUAUGCACUUUCUCUUCUGCCCUUUAGGAAGCAUUUCCUGUACAAAUAUGGCUUACUCUUGCAAUAAUCUCCUAUAACACCACACUACUGGGCUUCUUUCCAAAAGGUCCUCAUCUGCUGUGUGGUACUCAGGAUCCCUAGGGUGGGAUAUCUUUCAUGUAAAUGAUUUCAUUCAAACUUUUAUAGAGGUGUUCUGCAAACAAGACAGUUUCAUUUCAGGACUUGGAAGGGGAAAGGGGAGAAAGCAAAUGAAUUUUUUAGAACCCUUAUACUCUACCCAGACUGCAUAUGUUUUCAGACUUAAGAAUUACUUUGCCAGCUUUGAACGAAGCUUAUCAUAGAUGAAGAUCUGCUUUAGUCUCUCUUCAGUGUUUCUCAAGGAAGAACUCAGCUAGUCAGAACUCUGCUAACAAAAGGAAUGAAAAAGUUUUGGACUUAAGUUCAGCCCUAAGGUACCCAAAUAUCAGUCUGGGAAUCUGGAGUAUCAUGUACAGGAAAGAUGGGGUCUUGACUUUGGAUUGAGGGAGAUGUCUAUGUGGCUGAUGGGCCUUCCCUGGACCAGGAGAGACUGCUUCUGUCCCAAGAGAUGCUUCUCUAAGGACUUCACCAAUGGGAAUGGACUCCCAACCAUGCUGGUUAGGAUGCUUCUCUCAAGGCUUCAGCACUGGGAAUGGACUUCCAACCGUGCCUCCUCCCUUUUACAGGCAUUGUGUGAAUACUUAAAGGAAGUUGUACUUCAUUUCCAUCAGGAUGAAGUCCCCACCUGAUGGUUCCCAUACAAAAAACGUUGGAUCCCUCUUAUUUGCCAAUUUCAAGUUGUUCUGUUAAUAUAAACUCAUGUGUACUUAUUUUUCAGUUUGAAUUAUGAUCCAGUUUUACUAUAUUAUUGUGUUCAACUUUCCAACAAUGCUGUUAAUAUGUGAACAAUACCAGCAUCAUCUGGUAUAUCUUCUAUUGCAGGACUGGAAUCUUUAUUUCUUCAAGAAUUCCAUAUUCUCUCUUUCCAUAGAGAAUUCUUGUAGAUGCACACUGUUAUUGCUACUUCCUUGUUUCUGUGUGUUCAGUCAACAAAGCAAGAAAAAUUAUGUAUAUGGUAACAUGUAUGUUUAUUAUACAUAAAUAAUUUUCUUAGUCUCUUCCACAAAUGCAAUAUUUUCUCUUUUUGCACCUAUAAACUCCUUAUUGAAUAGAGAGUAUCCAGUUCCUAUUGUAGAGUAACUUAAUUGCUUGGUUCCUCUAUACCUUUAUUUCAGUGUCAGAAUUAACCCAUAUUAAGCAACCUUGUUAACGAGAGUAUUUAGAACUAUUUAUUUGCUUAACGUUAGUGUUUUAUUCCUUCACCCCCUUCUUUGAAAUAUUUGAUGUCUUGAUAGAUAUGUGAUUUAAUGUUUUACCUCAAAAUAUUUUUGAUAAAGAAUAAAUGAAUGAACUUCCAAAUA